UACGUAGGUGGCAAGCGUCGUCCGGAUUUACUGGGCGUAAAGAGCGCGCAGGCGGUCGUUCAAGUCGCGUGUGAAAGCCCCCGGCUCAACUGGGGAGGGUCACGCGAUACUGAUCGACUCGAAGGCAGGAGAGGGUAGUGGAAUUCCCGGUGUAGUGGUGAAAUGCGUAGAUAUCGGGAGGAACACCAGUGGCGAAGGCGACUACCUGGCCUGUUCUUGACGCUGAGGCGCGAAAGCUAGGGGAGCAAACGGG
rnacentral:rRNA from 1 species